rnacentral:rRNA from 1 species
UACGUAGGGUGCGAGCGUUGUCCGGAAUUAUUGGGCGUAAAGAGCUCGUAGGCGGUUUGUUGCGUCUAUCGUGAAAACCUGCGGCUUAACUGUGGGCUUGCGGUGGAUACGGGCAGACUUGAGUUCGGUAGGGGAGACUGGAAUUCCUGGUGUAGCGGUGAAAUGCGCAGAUAUCAGGAGGAACACCGAUGGCGAAGGCAGGUCUCUGGGCCGAUACUGACGCUGAGGAGCGAAAGCGUGGGGAGCGAACAGG